CUCACACACCCAUCAUCCAGCACUCACACAAACACCCAUCAUCCAGCACUCACACAAACACCCAUCAUCCAGCACUCACACACACAUCAUCCAGCACUCACACACACAUAAUCCAGCACACACACACACAUCAUCCAGCACACACACACACAUCAUCCAGCACGCACACACACAUCAUCCAGCACACGCACAUAUCAUCCA